CAGCACCUCAAGUGGUCAGGAUGAUUAUUGGGCCUAAAGCAUCCGUAGCCGGCUCUGUAAGUUUUCGGUUAAAUCUGUACGCUCAACGUACAGGCUGCCGGGAAUACUGCAGAGCUAGGGAGUGGGAGAGGUAGACGGUACUCGGUAGGAAGGGGUAAAAUCCUUUGAUCUGUUGAUGACCACCUGUGGCGAAGGCGGUCUAGCAGAACACGUCCGACGGUGAGGGAUGAAAGCUGGGGGAGCAAACCGGAUUAGAUACCCGAGUAGUCC
rnacentral:rRNA from 1 species